UGCUUUAAUUGUUAAUUCCAUUCACUUGAAGUUCAAAGUUAAAACAAAUAAAAUUCAUGAAUUCACUGGGUUUAGAUACAGAAUCAUAGAAACUGGAGGAAUUAGAAUUCCUCAAAAUAAGACAUACUAUCUACUAUUUAAUAACCUAAAGAAAUCCUAACAUCACUUCUUCCAGCAUCACACUGAUGAGUCAAAAGCAGCUUCUCAUCCAGAACUAAAAGCAAGCAUCCAGCAUGCAACAACAGCAGAGUGCAGCCAAACUGCAAUACAAAACACAAAUUUCAAUUAUUCUCUUCUACAAACACAUCAAUAUUAGAACAUCAACAAAGAUUAAUAGAUAAAGAUCAAAUCAUAGAAGCAAACAAAUACACACAUGUGGCAGAUCUUAAGGUUAUCAUGAUUAAACAAUGUAUAUGUGUAUUCCUAAAUCAAUUUGUCAUAUAUCCAAAAAUCAUUAGGAUUUCCUGUUUAUAUGCUUAAUAUAGCAUGCUUAUAUUUGAAUUAAGAGAAAACAUGAUGUGAUUAAUUAAUAAAUUAAUUCCAACAAUUAUUUCCUAAUUCAACAAAAUUCAUAUUUGAUCAAAUUGCAAAACAUAUCCUAAGAAUUUUAAGAUUUCAUUGUUUAUUAUUAUGACCAUUAAACAUGUCCAUAAUUAAAAAUCAAUUCCAACCAUCACAUCCAUUGACUCCUACUUCCAAAUUCAACAAAAAUCAGGUUGAUUUAACAUGCAAAAUAUUAUAAUAUCUAAAAGAUGCCUUAUUUUCCACAUCAAUCAAUGAUUUCAGCAACUCAGCAAUUUUUUUUUUUUUUUUUUUUUUUGUAACAUUCCCAGAUCGGAAUUGUUGAAGUCCACCUACUCUGACUAAAAAUUCAGAAUCUUCGAAUAAAAACAAAAUAAAUAAAUCAUAAAAGGAAACACAUUUUUCAACAAUAACACAUGCAGAGCAAAAAAAAAAGGAAAGGAGACAUACCAUCCUUCAAGAAACCCAACUUCUUUGUUCUGCUGAGGCUGUUGAGCAUACUGUUGAGGUGGGUAACCUUGUUGAGGGUACCCUUGUUGAGGAUAUCCUUGAGGAGGGUACCCUUGUUGAGGGUAACCUUGUUGAGGGUACCCUGGUGGAGGAUAAGCAUCUUUUGGUGGAUACCCUUUAAUAAAAAAAAAAACACAAGAUUCAAUAAUCAAAAUCAAAUUUUUGUAACAACCCAUGAAUCAAAAACAAGAAAAGAAAGAAACUUGAAAACAAAAGAAGAAGUGGGUUACCUUGUGGUGGUGGAACACCAACAGGAGGUUGUUGUUGAUGAUCGUAGUAGCUCAUAAUGUUGUUGAUGAAACUGAAAAGUGAUUAUGAAAAAUAAGCGAUUUUUUU
rnacentral:lncRNA from 1 species